GAAGACCUGAGCUCCAGGCCUGACUCCGCCCUUACAGAGCCAGAAGUGGCCCCCUCACACAGGAGGUGCCAGGCAUUUGCUGUUCUGCCUCUGCUCUGCCCGCCAACCAGCUUUUUAGCCAGAUGUGAAACCACAACUGAGUGUUGGAUCCCACCAUCCCACUUUACAGAUGGAGAGACCGAGGCUCAGGAAGGCUCCGUGGUCUCACACAAGGGGACCACAGUGCGGAGAAAUGAACAACGCUUAAGGAGUGCCCUGUGCUGGACACUUCACAUCCAUCCUCUUACUUCAUCUCCAUAACGCCCCUAGGAGGGGGGACUGCCGCUCCGUGCACAGCUGAGGAAACCGGCUCAGAAUUGGAUGAAAGCAACUUGAACUCAGGAACCAUGCCUUUGAUUUCUCUGGACCCUUCACAGCCCAGAGCUAGGCACACGGCAGUUCUGAAGAACGUUAGUUACAUAAUGGAAGUUGCAUAGGAAUGGAGCCACUCCAUGAGGGCCCUGCUGGGACUGGUUCUGGGUGCCAGAGCCAGGAGCUACCCAGCUCAAGUCCUGAUUCUUCCAAGCAGCCUUCCUGGACUUCUCCAGCUCACGCUGACCGCCCUGCUCUAAAAUUCCUGCUGUGUGUAUUAGUGACAGCAUCACUGUUCUGUGCUCGGUCAUCGUGGCCUGCCACCUUGAAUCAUGUAAAACCUUACCUACCGGAUGAGACCCCAAGAUGCUCUCCAGUAUAAAUAAUACUUCUCAAAUUCUCUUAUAUCCCCAUGCACCCCAAAACCUCAGCACAGCACCAGGCCUCCACAGAUACUCCUUGAAGGAACAGGAAUUGGUUCUA